UACGAAGGGGGCUAGCGUUGCUCGGAAUUACUGGGCGUAAAGCGCACGUCGGCGGUCUUUUAAGUCGGGGGUGAAAUCCUGGAGCUCAACUCCAGAACUGCCUUCGAUACUGGAAGACUCGAGUCCGGGAGAGGUGAGUGGAACUGCGAGUGUAGAGGUGAAAUUCGUAGAUAUUCGCAAGAACACCAGUGGCGAAGGCGGCUCACUGGCCCGGUACUGACGCUGAGGUGCGAAAGCGUGGGGAGCAAACAGG
rnacentral:rRNA from 1 species